rnacentral:rRNA from 1 species
UACGUAGGGUGCAAGCGUUAAUCGGAAUUAUUGGGCGUAAAGGGUGCGCAGGCGGAUGUAUAAGUCAGAUGUGAAAUCCCCGGGCUUAACCUGGGAAUUGCGUUUGAAACUAUAUGACUAGAGUGUGGUAGAGGGGAGUGGAAUUCCAUGUGUAGCAGUGAAAUGCGUAGAGAUGUGGAAGAACACCGAUGGCGAAGGCAGCUCCCUGGAUUAACACUGACGCUCAUGCACGAAAGCGUGGGGAGCAAACAGGAUUAGAAACCCUCGUAGUCC